rnacentral:tRNA from 1 species
ACCGAAAUAGCUCAGUUGGGAGAGCGUUAGAAUAUAGAUCGUAAGGUGGUUGGUUCGAUCCCGGGAUCCAGCA